rnacentral:lncRNA from 1 species
GAGGAUGCAUUAUAUUAGGAAUUUUUCUUAACUCUAAUAUAUAUUCUUCAGAUAUUUAGGUUUUCAUGAAUGAGAAAUUGUAUACAAGAACUGCCCAUUUGUGGUGCUAGCAUUUAGGAACAUAGAAACUAAAGUUAUCUACCUUUUCUCCUGGGAUGCCAUUUGGUCCAGCAGCUCCUGGAAGCCCAUUUGCACCAGGUUCUCCAGGUGAUCCAUCCUUGCCAUCUUCGCCUUUAGCUCCUGGAACACCUGGAAUACCAGCCUCACC